CUCUCUUUCAGUUCCCCUCAGAAACAGUUUACCCUUCAAUGCUUAGGUCAUGUCUCCCUCCCAGCCCCCCCGGGUAUAAAACCCAGGGAGGUCUGAUUUCCGGGUUCCUCAGCUGUAUUGAAGCUGUGGCACCAGAGACAAGAUUCCAUUAUGCCCUGGAAGCUUUCAUGAACCUUGAGGAAGGAGCUCACAAUGAACCCCUGGCUUCUGUUUUCUCUUGCUGCCAUCUAUUACCAAUUAUUCAUUAUUGAGAGAUGCUCAGCUGGUCCCAGCACCAGGAAGGAAGCUCCCCCACUGCCAUCCCAAGCUCCUAGGGCAGAGAAGGUGAGCCAUGUGGGCACCAGAAGCCCCCCCCCCAUGGAAAUGAGAAGACACAUAAAAAAAGCCUCAAAAACAGACUUCCAGAUCACCUACAGCAACCCCAAAGGGAAACGAGAUGGAAAAAUCUGAUACUCAACCACCUGGACUCUCUGAACUGGCAACAAAAGAGGAUCUGGGAAAAAUGAAAUCAGAAAUAAUUACUCAGAUAACAGCAAAGAUUGUGCUCAUGGUGCAAGACAUGAUUAAUAAAUCUAGAGAGGAUACAGAUAAAAACAUAGAGGAUCUGAGGAACAUCAUGGAAUCCCAACAUAAGAAACAAAUGGAAUCCAUAAAACAGAUACAAACAGAUUUCCAAGAGAUUAAAAACUCCAUGGAAAGUCUGUGCAGCAGAAUGAACCAAUGUGAGGACAGAGUUUCACAUAUAGAAGAUAAGAUUGCAAUUAGUAACCAGGAAAAGAAAAAUUGCUUUAAAAUUGUAAGGGAACAUGAGAAAUCAAUCCAGCAGCUGCUAGAUGAUGAAAAGAAGAAUAACAUAAGACUGAUUGGAGUCACUGAAGAAAGAGGAGAGAGUGCAGAUGACAUAAAAAUACUCUUCACAGAAGUGAUGGCAGAAAACUUCCCAAGGAGGGGAAAAGAACUUGACAUACAGAUAAGUGAGACAUAUAGGACUCCAGCUAGCCUUAAUCAAAAAAAAAUCUACACAUAGGCAUAUAAUAGUUAGGAUUCCAGAAAUCCAACAGAAGAACAAAAUUCUACAAGCAGUGAGAGAAAAGAAACAAAUCACAUACAAAGGAAAGCCCAUCAGAAUCACAGCAGACUUCUCAAUGCAAACCCUCAAGGCAAGAAGAGCUUGGAGUGAUAUAUUUCAAGCCCUAAAGGAAAACAGCCUCCAACCCAGAUUGAUGUACCCUGCAAAACUAUCUUUCAAAAUUGAUGGAGAAAUAAGAUACUUUCAUGAGAAAGAGCACCUCAGGAACUUCAUGAAUACCAAACCAGCACUCCAAAAAUUUUAGACAGUACCCUAGGAAAAGACAAUGAGGGUCACAAUCCCAGGAAACCCAGCAGAAUGAAUCCAUUGGGCGUGACAAAUUAAACACAAAGGGGGAGAAUCCAACAAA
rnacentral:lncRNA from 1 species